rnacentral:sRNA from 2 species
UCCGGGCGGACGCCGAGUCCUGCCGCCGCUCCGGAUGCCUGGUCGACAGGAGUGGAUCGGCAGGAGUGGAGGACCCGAGCAGUACGGGCCGACCCGAUGACAAGGGCCGUCCCUCGGGGUGAAGCCGCUUCGGCGGCCGGGCGACUUCGCCAGUCCGAACCCGACAGGUCAUCCUUCACAGGCGGCUGACGAAGGGUUG